AUCUCACCUUUCUCUGACUGUC
rnacentral:miRNA from 1 species